rnacentral:ribozyme from 1 species
UGCCCAGCAACUCCUAUCCCUACCUCCUCGUGGUACUGGCAUUGGCGUAGCUAGGAUUUUUUUCUGGAGGGGGCCUAGGGGGGG